GGCAUUCUAACUCCUGUUUGGUUUAACGGAUGAUGGUUGGCAACAUGGGUGAAUAAAGAAUCAACAUCAUCAAAGGAGACAUCACAGCGUCUACAUAAAAAUGCUACCCAAUGUCUUCCUGGUAAGCCUGCGACAUCUGUAUUGGCUAUCACACCCAUUCCUGGUAGUAGGUGAACUUGAGACAGUUCAUCAGAUGAGAAUACACCAAGAACAGAUCGUUGUAAGUCAACGUCUGAAACAAUGGCACACUUGAGCUGGAACAUAAUGCGGAACUUCGAAAAUGUUUGACCAGUUUCCCAUAGAGGCUGCAC